UUCCGGUUGAUCCUGCCGGACCCCACUGCUAUCGGGAUAGGACUAAGACAUGCUAGUCGUGUGCCUCAGCCAAAACGAGGCACGGCGCACAGCUCAGUAACACGUGGCUAACCUGCCCUUAGGACGAGAAUAACCCCGGGAAACUGGGGCUAAUGCUCGAUAGGUGAAGAACUCUGGAAUGAGUCUUCACUUAAAAGAGUCUGCGUUAUGCUCGUAGAUUUCGCUUAAGGAUGGGGCCGCGACCGAUCAGGUUGUUGGUGAGGUAAUGGCUCACCAAGCCUUUUACCGGUGCGGGCCGUGAGAGCGGGAGCCCGGAGAUGGGCACUGAGACAAGGGCCCAGGCCCUACGGGGCGCAGCAGUCGCGAAAACUUUGCAAUACACGAAAGUGUGACAGGGCUAUCCCGAGUGCCAUCCGCUGAGGAAGGCUUUUACCCAGUCUAGAACGCUGGGGGAAUAAGGAGAGGGCAAGUCUGGUGUCAGCCGCCGCGGUAAUACCAGCUCUCCGAGUGGUGUGGAUGUUUAUUGGGCCUAAAGCAUCCGUAGCUGGCUAAGUUAGUCCCCUGUUAAAUCCAACGAAUUAAUCGUUGGAUCGCGGGGGAUACUGCUUGGCUAGGGGACGAGAGAGGCAGACGGUAUUUCCGGGGUAGGGGUGAAAUCCUAUAAUCCCGGGAAGACCACCAGUGGCGAAGGCUGUCUGCUAGAACGCGCCCGACGGUGAGGGAUGAAAGCUGGGGGAGCGAACCGGACUAGAUACCCGGGUAGUCCCAGCUGUAAACGAUGCAGGCUAGGUGUUUGGACGGCCACGCGCCGUUCUAGUGCCGCAGGGAAGCUGUUAAGCCUGCCGCCUGGGGAGUACGAUCGCAAGAUUGAAACUUAAAGGAAUUGGCGGGGGAGCACCACAAGGGGUGAAGCUUGCGGUUUAAUUGGAUUCAACGCCGGA
rnacentral:rRNA from 1 species